rnacentral:rRNA from 1 species
UUCUGAGUAAAACAAGCAAAUAAAUUAAAACUUUCAACAACGGAUCUCUUGGCUCUGGCAUCGAUGAAGAACGCAGCGAAAUGCGAUAAGUAAUGUGAAUUGCAGAAUUCAGUGAAUCAUCGAAUCUUUGAACGCACAUUGCGCCCGCCAGUAUUCUGGCGGGCAUGCCUGUUCGAGCGUCAUUACAACCCUCAGGCCCCCGGGCCUGGCGUUGGGGAUCGGCGGAGCCCCCCGUGGGCACACGCCGUCUCCCAAAUACAGUGGCGGUCCCGCCGCAGCUUCCAUCGCGUAGUAGCUAACACCUCGCGACUGGAGAGCGGCGCGGCCACGCCGUAAAACACCCAACUCUUCUGAAGUUGACCUCGAAUCAGGUAGGAAUACCCGCUGAACUUAAGCAUAUCAAUAAGCGGAGGAAG